rnacentral:tRNA from 1 species
GGCGGAAUAGCUCAGUUGGCUAGAGCACACGGUUCAUACCCGUGGUGUCGGGGGUUCAAAUCCCUCUUCCGCUACUA